UGGGGAAUCUUGGACAAUGGGCGCAAGCCUGAUCCAGCCAUGCCGCGUGAGUGAUGAAGGCCUUAGGGUUGUAAAGCUCUUUUGGCGGGGACGAUAAUGACGGUACCCGCAGAAUAAGUCCCGGCUAACUUCGUGCCAGCAGCCGCGGUAAUACGAAGGGGACUAGCGUUGUUCGGAAUCACUGGGCGUAAAGCGCACGUAGGCGGAUUUGUAAGUCAGGGGUGAAAUCCCGGGGCUCAACCUCGGAACUGCCUUUGAUACUGCGGAUCUCGAGUCCGAUAGAGGUGGGUGGAAUUCCUAGUGUAGAGGUGAAAUUCGUAGAUAUUAGGAAGAACACCGGUGGCGAAGGCGGCCCACUGGAUCGGUACUGACGCUGAGGUGCGAAAGCGUGGGGAGCAAACAGGAUUAGAUACCCCAGUAGUCCCUGAGCGGGCUGGCAAGGCGCAU
rnacentral:rRNA from 1 species